rnacentral:lncRNA from 1 species
CCGACUAUCAGUUCAGUUGGGAUCGUGUUUUCCAGAGUCGUGGGGACACCGGAGUCUUCCUGCAGUACACCCACGCCCGCCUCUGUAGUCUGGAAGAGACUUUUGGAUGUGGGUAUCUCAAUGACUUCAAUGUUGCUUGUUUACAAGAGCCACAGUCUGUUUCAAUUCUCCAGCAUCUUCUCAGGUAUGAAAGUCCUACUAUUACCAAGUCUGAUAUUCUUAACUAAAUUGAGAGCAUUGUUGAUUUCUAGAGUCCUCUGUUCACAGGCUACCUCCUGCUGCUAGGUAAACUAGCAGAUCAAGGGCUCAGAUUAAGCCCAUCAUCAAGGUUAAUCCUAGUCUUAAAAGUAUGAUCACAAAGUGUAUUG